rnacentral:misc_RNA from 1 species
CGGGUGAACCCGGGUCGC